rnacentral:rRNA from 1 species
UACGUAGGUGGCAAGCGUUGUCCGGAAUUAUUGGGCGUAAAGCGCGCGCAGGCGGCCUUUUAAGUCUGAUGUGAAAGCCCCCGGCUCAACCGGGGAGGGUCAUUGGAAACUGGAAGGCUUGAGUGCAGAAGAGAAGAGCGGAAUUCCACGUGUAGCGGUGAAAUGCGUAGAGAUGUGGAGGAACACCAGUGGCGAAGGCGGCUCUUUGGUCAGGAACUGACGCUGAGGCGCGAAAGCGUGGGGAGCAAACAGG